GUGUUUAGGUGUGGGUGUGGGUCAGUCAGUGUUUAGGUGUGGGUGUGGGUCAGUCAGUGUUCAGGUGUGGUGUGGGUCAGUGAGUGUUUCGGUGUGGGUUUUUGUCAGUCAGAGGUUAGGUGUAGUGAGGGUCAGUCAGUGUUCAGGUGUGGUUUGGGUCAGUCAGUGAUUAGGUGUGGGUUUUUGUCAGUCAGAGGUUAGGUGUAGUGAGGGUCAGUCAGUGUUCAGGUGUGGUUUGGGUCAGUCAGUGUUUAGGUGUGGUGUGUGUCAGUCUGUGUUUAGGUGUGGGUGUGGGUUUGGGUCAGUCAGUGUUUAGGUGUGGUUUGGGUCAGUCAGUGUUUAGGUGUGGAGUGGCUCAGUCAGUGGUACGUGUUGGUUUGGAUCAGUCAGUGUUUAGGUGUGGGUUUGUGUCAGUCAGAGGUUAGGUGUAGUGAGGGUCAGUCAGUGUUCAGGUGUGGUUUGGGUCAGUCAGUGUUUAGGUGUGGGUUUGGGUCAGUCAGUGUUCAGGUGUGGGAUUGGGUCAGUCACUGGUUAGGUGUGGGUGUGUGUCAGUCAGUGUUUAGGUGUGGUGUGGGUCAGUCAGUUUUUAGGUGUGGUGUUAGUCAGUCAGUGUUUAGGUGUGGGUUUGGGUCAGUCAGUGGUUAGGUGUGGGUGUGUGUCACUGUUUAGGUGUGGGUUUUGGUCAGUCAGUGGUUAGGUGUGGGUUUGGGUCAGUCAGUGUUUAGGUGUGGGUUUGGGUCAGUCAGUGUUCAGGUGUGGGAUUGGGUCAGUCAGUGGUUAGGUGUGGGUGUGUGUCAGUCAGUGUUUAGGUGUGGUGUGAUUCAGUCAGUGUUUAGGUGUGGGUUUGGGUCAGGCAGUGGUUAGGUGUGGGUGUGUGUCAGUGUUUAUGUGUGGGUUUGGGUCAGUCCGUGGUUAGGUGUGGGUUUGGGUUAGUCAGUGUUUAGGUGUGGGUUUGGGUCAGUCAGUGUUUAGGUGUGGGUUUUGGUCAGUCAGUGGUUAGGUGUGGGUUUGGGUCAGUCAGUGGUUAGGUGUGGGUUUGGAUCAGUCAGUGGUUAGGUGUGGGUUUGGGUCAGUUAGUGUUUAGGUGUGUGUUUGCGUCAGUCAGUGUUUACGUGUGGGUAUGGGUCAGUCAGUGGUUAGGUGUGGGUUUGGGUCAGUCAGUGGUUAGGUGUGGGAUUCGGUCAGUCAGUGUUUAGGUGUGGUGUGGGUCAGUCAGUGGUUAGGUGUGGGUUUGGGUCAGUCAGUGUUUACGUGUGGGUUUGGGUCAGUCAGUGGUUAGGUGUGGGUUUGGGUCAGUCAGUGUUUAGGUGUGGGUGUGGGUCAGUCAGUGUUUAGGUGUGGGUUUGGAUCAGUCAGUGUUUAGGUGUGGGUGUGGGUUAGUCAGUGUUUAGGUGUGGGUUUGGAUCAGUCAGUGGUUAGGUGUGGGUUUGGAUCAGUCAGUGUUUAGGUGUGAUGUGGGUCAGUCAGUGUUUAGGUGUGGUGUGUGUCAGUCAGUGGUUAGGUGUGGGUGUGGGUCAGUCAGUGGUUUGGUGUGGGUGUGUGUCAGUCAGUGUUUAGGUGUGGGUGUGUGUCUGACACUGUUUAGGUGUGGGAUUGUGUCAGUCAGUGUUUAGUUAUCGGUGUGUGUCAGACACUGUUUAGGUGUGGGAUUGUGUCAGUCAGUGUUUAGGUGUGUGGGUCAGUCAGUGGUUAGGUGUAGUGAGGGUCAGUCAGUGUUUAGGUGUGGGUUUGGGUCAGUCAGUGUUUAGGUGUGGGUGCGGGUCAGUCAGUGUUUAGGUGUGGGUUUGGGUCAGUCAGUGGUUAGGUGUGUGUUUGGGUCAGUCAGUGGUUAGGUGUGGGUUUGGGUCAGUCAGUGUUUAGGUGUGGGAUUGUGUCAGUCAGUGUUUAGGUGUGUGGGUCAGACAGUGUUUAGGUGUGGUGUGGGUCAGUCAGUGUUUAGGUGUGGUGUGGGUCAGUCAGUGUUUAGGUGUGGUGUGGGUCAGUCAGUGUUUAGGUGUGGGUGUGGGUCAGUCAGUGAUUAGGUGUGGGUUUGGUUCAGUCAGUGUUUAGGUGUGGUGUGGGUCAGUCAGUGUUUAGGUGUGGUGUGGGUCAGUCAGUGGUUAGGUGUGUGUUUGGGUCAGUCAGUGUUUAGGUGUGGGUUUGGGUCAGUCAGUGGUUAGGUGUGUGUUUGGGUCAGUCAGUGUUUAGGUGUGGGUUUGGGUCAGUCAGUGUUUAGGUGUGGUGUGGGUCAGUCAGUGUUCAGGUGUGGUGUGUGUCAGUCAGUGUUUAGGUGUGGGUGUGUGUCAGUCAAUGUUUAGGUGUGUGUUUGGGUCAGUCAGUGAUUAGGUGUGGGUUUGGUUCAGUCAGUGUUUAGGUGUGGGUUUGGGUCAGUCAGUGUUUAGGUGUGGUGUGGGUCAGUCAGUGUUUAGGUGUGGUGUGUGUCAGUCUGUGUUUAGGUGUGGUGAGGGUCAGUCAGUGUUCAGGUGUGGUUUGGGUCAGUCAGUGUUUAGGUGUGGUGUGUGUCAGUCUGUGUUUAGGUGUGGGUGUGGGUUUGGGUCAGUCAGUGUUUAGGUGUGGGUGUGGGUCAGUCAGUGUUUAGGUGUGGGUUUGGGUCAGUCAGUGUUUAGGUGUGGUGUGGGUCAGUCAGUGUUUAGGUGUGGUGAGGGUCAGUCAGUGUUCAGGUGUGGUUUGGGUCAGUCAGUGUUUAGGUGUGGUGUGUGUCAGUCUGUGUUUAGGUGUGGGUGUGGGUUUGGGUCAGUCAGUGGUUAGGUGUGGGUUUGGGUCAGUCAGUGGUUAGGUAUGGGUUUCGGUCAGUCAGUGGUUAGGUGUGGUGUGGGUCAGUCAGUGUUUAGGUGUGGUGUGGGUCAGUCAGUGUUUAGGUGUGGGUUUGGGUCAAUCAGUGUUUAGGUGUGGGUGUGUGUCAGUCAGUGGUUAGGUGUGAUGUGAGUCAGUCAGUGUUUAGGUGUGGGUUUGGGUCAGUCAGUGGUUAGGUGUGGGUGUGUGUCAGUCAGUGUUUAGGUGUGGUGUGGGUCAGUCAGUGUUUAGACGUGGGCGUGGGUCAGUCAGUGUUUAGGUGCGGGUGUGUGUCAGUCAGUGUUUAGGUGUGUGGGUCAGUCAGUGUUUAG